UAAUACGUAGGGUGCAAGCGUUAAUCGGAAUUACUGGGCGUAAAGGGUGCGCAGGCGGUACUGUAAGUCAGAUGUGAAAUCCCCGGGCUUAACCUGGGAAUUGCGUUUGAAACUACAGAACUAGAGUGUAAUAGAGGGAGACGGAAUUCCAUGUGUAGCAGUGAAAUGCGUAGAGAUAUGGAAGAACAUCGAUGGCGAAGGCAGUCUCCUGGAUUAACACUGACGCUCAUGCACGAAAGCGUGGGGAGCAAACAGGAUUAGAUACCCUGGUAGUCCACGCCCUAAACUAUGUCAACUAGUUGUUGGGCUUUAAAAAGCUUAGUAACGUAGCUAACGCGUGAAGUUGACCGCCUGGGGAGUACGGUCGCAAGAUUAAAACUCAAAUGAAUUGACGG
rnacentral:rRNA from 1 species